CGGUGUCGGGGUCCACGUAGACCAGCGUGCCCAUCUUGCCGUACUGCGUGACCACCACGAGGAUGGAGUUGGAGAACGCGGUGCAAACCACCUCGAUUUCGCAAGCUAUAGAUGGAGUACUCCAACCCUUACAGGAUUUAGUGAUGCUGUGUCAUUUGUGUUUUGAGCUGCUGUGCAGACUGGAGGAGGAAGACUUGAGGUCCAGGAGACUGGGCCCUCCACUGAUGAUGACCAUGGUCGUGCCUGCGAAUGGAGUCAUCCAUCAACAGUCCCACGUUGUGAGCAGCAGAAGCUUUGCAUUACUGGAAUGGCUGAAGAAAUUAUUUCCAUGGAUCAGUAUAAGUGGCAGUAAAUAGCCCACAAUGGCCCAUGCAGGAGGUUUUUGGUUGCUCGUGGUGGUCUGUCAGAUGAAAGACAGAGUGCAAAUAAUGGAUCAUAAAAACAAUAGUAGUGUUGCUUCCAAGAACCAAACUCAGAACCCUUUGUUCUUAAGCAGGGUGAAAACACAGACAAUAACAGCAUUUCUCUUGCAGGAACAAGAAGAGAACAUCAGAGUGUGGUUAUAAUACCAGUAGUAUCAUCACUUGUAUAAAUCACUUAAUUGUGACAGUAAAUUAAAUACUGCUGUUGUCUAGAAAUCAGCCAUAGUUAAAGUGAUGAGUCUUGAGGAGGCAAAUGCUUUGUGCUCUGCCAGUAAUAUAUUAGCUCCUCUUCCAAGUGAGAAAACAAUUAAAAUCUCGGCUGAAAAGGGCAUAUUUUCUCUGUGGCCACUGAUCCCUCACAUUCGGGAUAUAAUAAAGUGUUUCUAAUAGUUGUUCAUUAUUACCCAGUUGAAGGAGGAAAAAUCCUUUUUCUCAUCAUGCUCAAGAAAGUUAUGAAAUGGUUCUGGGAAUAUUUGAAAGUGUAAGAGGCACAUAACCAAAUGGCUUUGACAAUAUAUCAUUGUUUGCAGCUCAUAAUGCCGCUGUUAAGUGUGGGAGCUAUCUGUCAGCGCACGGAGUGGAAAAUGAGAAUAAAUAUUUACUUUCUCUUCCAAGUAACAGAAUAGUGUGAGGUGAACAGGUCCUGAUGUGAUUUUGAGGGUCGUGUAGCAAAAGCUGAAGCAUUACA